GGGUCGUACGAUUGGGCCUAGGUGUGGGGGACAUUCCACGUUCUCCGCGCCGUAGCUAACGCAUUAAGUGCCCCGCCUGGGGAGUACGGUCGCAAGGCUAAAACUCAAAGGAAUUGACGGGGGCCCGCACAAGCGGCGGAGCAUGCGGAUUAAUUCGAUGCAACGCGAAGAACCUUACCAAGGCUUGACAUACACUGGACCGUUCUGGAAACAGUUCUUCUCUUUGGAGCUGGUGUACAGGUGGUGCAUGGUUGUCGUCAGCUCGUGUCGUGAGAUGUUGGGUUAAGUCCCGCAACGAGCGCAACCCUCGUUCUAUGUUGCCAGCACGUGAUGGUGGGAACUCAUAGGAGACUGCCGGGGUCAACUCGGAGGAAGGUGGGGAUGACGUCAAAUCAUCAUGCCCUUUAUGUCUUGGGCUUCACGCAUGCUACAAUGGCUGGUACAGAGAGAGGCGAACCCGUGAGGGUAAGCGAAUCCCUUAAAGCCAGUCUCAGUUCGGAUCGUAGUCUGCAAUUCGACUACGUGAAGUCGGAGUCGCUAGUAAUCGCAGAUCAGCAACGCUGCGGUGAAUACGUUCCCGGGCCUUGUACACACCGCCCGUCAAGUCACGAAAGUCGGUAACACCCGAAGCCGGUGUCCCAACCCACUUGUGGGAGGGGGCCGUCUAAGGUGGGACUGGUGAUUGGGACUAAGUCGAAAAGGGGUUACCAA
rnacentral:rRNA from 1 species